rnacentral:piRNA from 1 species
AACAAUUUGUCUAUGAUAAUA